GGCCCAUUAGCUCAGUUGGUUAGAGCGUGGUGCUAAUAACGCCAAGGUCGCAGGUUCGAGACCUGCAUGGGCCA
rfam:Vigna radiata var. radiata cultivar VC1973A scaffold_161, whole genome shotgun sequence